rnacentral:lncRNA from 1 species
GCAGACUUCAAACCUUGCAGAAACCUGUGAAUGAUGGAUGGGACAUGCAUUUGCCUCUAGGACUGAAGGAAGAGGAGACAAUUUGAUGCCACCAAACCACCAGAUAUUUGGCUAAGAUGCCCGCCCAGCUUCAACUGACAUACACACAACAGCACGACUUUCCAGCAAAAGUUCAACAUUGGCUGGGCACGGAGGCUCAUGCCUGCAAUCUCAGCACUUUGGGAGGCCACGGGGGAGGAUCCCUUGAGGCCAGGAGUUUGAGACCAGCCUGGGAAACAUAGUGAGACCCCAUCUCUACAAAAAAUAGAAAAUUAUCUGGGUGCAGUGACAUGCCUCUGUGGUCCCAGCUCCUCCAGAAGCUGAGGUGCAAGGAUCCCUUGAACCCGGGAGGUGGAGGCUACAGUGAGCUGAGAUCGUGCCACUGCACUCCAGCCUGGGCCACAGAGCAAGACCUUGUCUCUUAAAAGAAAAAGAAGAAAAUUGAAUGUUAAUUUUAUGCCCCAGAUAAUAGAGGAGCGUGAAGAAAAUGGCAAUAGGGUGUGGCUUAUCCUGAAUGAAUCGGAUCCAGUGAGUCAAGAUCAACGCUGCUUCUCAGAGGUGAUCAGCACCAAGAUAUCCUCAGAUAAGCUCUUCGCAGAUAUUGAAGGGAUUGCGACCAUGAACCACUCUCACUGCUUAGUUCCAAAGCUCAGGAAGGAAAGACAGGGAGGGCGGGGCACUGUCCGGAGGCAGUGAUGGCGUGCUGGCCGCAGUGGGUGCAUGGACUUUGCAGAUGUGGAGUCUGCACCUCCUCCUACAUUUGCUGAGCACCUACUUCAUCCAAUACACCACCAAGGAGAAGACGGACAAGACCCCUGUUCUGGAGGGGGAAGAAUAAAAAUAAUGCCUCUCACCGGGGGCCGGGCCAAGCUCUGGGCACCUCUUCAUGAAUUAACUCCUAAAUUAAUCCAUGGAAGGGACACGUGGGAAGGGGCACGUGUGCAGAGCACAGGCUCGGACAGGAACCCCGGGAACACAGGGAGGUCAGUGCUUCUGUACCCAAAGGACCCCUCUCGGCAGGGGCCAGUGAGCAGCCGGGAAGGGGGCCUUGGAGUUGAGACCUGUUGGGCUUGUUAGAGCCCCGUUCCUUGAUUUAAGAAAGCAGGCUAGGGCUGGGUGCAGUGGCUCACGCCUGUAAUCCCAGCACUUUGGGAGGCCGAGGCGGGCGGAUCACGGGGUCAGGAGUUCGAGACCAGCCUGGCCAACAUGGUGAAAUUCCGUCUGUACUAAAGAUACAAAAAAAUAACCGAGCGUGGUGGCAGGUGCCUGUAAUCCCACCUACUCGGGAAGCUGUGGCAGGAGACUUGCUUGAACCUGGGAGGCAGAAGUUGCAGUGAGCCGAGAUUGUGCUCCAGCCUGGGUAACAGAGCCAGAUUCCAUCUCGAAAAAUAACAUAACAUAACAUAACAUAACAUAACAUAACAUAACAUAACAUAACAUAACAUAAAUAAAGCAAGCAAACUGGAACCAGCCUCAUUCUUCCACUUCCCACAGUAGGGAUUGGGCUGGAAAUUCCGAAGCAAAUCCCUCUCUGCACUUUCCUCCACCUGCCCCUGUGCGGCCAGGGCCCUUCAUCCAGAAGCACGCAGCCUCGGGGACAGCUUCGCCAUUUUUAAGUGUUUUCACGAGGGGUUGACACUGUGCUGUCAGCGACAUCGCGAGCCCAGAAGUGAAUAACUGACACAACAAUGAUUAAAGUUUGUGAGCAGCUUCAGGAAAUGGCAGCGCAACUUUAUGUUCAAAAGAUCCAAGGCAGGAGAGUCUGCAGGGACUGGCCCCCUCCCCACCCACCGCCGGCGCAGCCAGAAGCAGCCACGCAGACGUGCGACCCCCCACAAACCGCCUCGGGACGAGGUUCUGCCGCGCCCGUGGGCCACAGUGUCCACGCGGGGCUUGUGCCGGUGUCGCCUCCCAUGAAGACACCCGGAGGGUCCCGUCUGCGGCGCGUGAGGGCAGCGGUCCCGGAGAGCCAGACCCCGGCCAGGGAGAGCUGCCCGCGAGGGAGGGGG